GAUGAACGCUAGCGGCGGGCCUAAUACAUGCAAGUCGAACGGUGUCUUCGGACAUAGUGGCGCACGGGUGCGUAACACGUAUGCAACCUACCUUACAUUGGGGGAUAGCCUUUCGAAAGGGAGAUUAAUACCGCAUAAGACAGUAGCUGGGCAUCCAGAAGCUGUUAAAGAUUUACCGAUGUAAGCUGGGCAUGCGUCCAAUUAGCUAGUUGGUGAGGUAACGGCUCACCAAGGCAAUGAUUGGUAGGGGAACUGAGAGGUCAAUCCCCCACACUGGCACUGAGAUACGGGCCAGACUCCUACGGGAGGCAGCAGUAGGGAAUAUUGGGCAAUGGACGCAAGUCUGACCCAGCCAUGCCGCGUGCAGGAUGAAGGCGUUAUGCGUUGUAAACUGCUUUUAUACAGGAAGAAGCGACUCUUGCGAGAGGCAUUGACGGUACUGUAUGAAUAAGCACCGGCUAACUCCGUGCCAGCAGCCGCGGUAAUAC
rnacentral:rRNA from 1 species